AAAUUGAAAGAAGCUGAUCCAUUCUUGCUGCGUGUAUGUCGUCUUGCAUCUCGUGAUGCACAGUGAUGCGCAUCGCUUUUAAACUGCAGGAAUAACGUACGAACAGCCGUAAGCCAAGCCUGAAGCCAGGACAAGUGAAUUGAGUGAAAGAAGCGGACCCAUUCUUGCUGCGUGUGACUCUUCUGCAUCUCGUGCUGUACGGAGUAUAUGAGUAUCGCUUUUAAACUGCAGGAAUAAUAUACGAACACCUGUAACACCGACUACCGUGCCAAGCCUGAAGGCAGGACGAGUCAACUGCUCACAGUCUGAGAAUAGUCAGAUAUUUUCAUGAAAGUUGAAGGUGAUGAACUAAGCAAAGAAGAAGCAUCAGUACCAGAAACCUCAUUAUUACAAAAUGGAGGAAACCUUUAGUAGCGCAGGGAUGAAAAAGACUCCAAAAAGAAGGCAAAGAAAAGUAAAAUGUUACACCUGUCCUCAGUGUGAAAGGAUUUUCCCAAAGAAACAUAACCUUGAAAGGCACGUCAGAAUUCACACUGGAGAGCGUCCAUUCAGUUGUCUUCAAUGUGGAACGAGUUUCGCCGAGAAAAGAAGUCUUGAGAUGCACAUGAGAAUUCACACUGGAGAACAGCCAUACACAUGUCCCCAGUGUAAAAGGAGUUUUGUACAUAAAAGCACUCUCGUGAAACACAUAAGAACUCACACUGGAGAGCGUCCAUACACAUGUCCUCAGUGUGAAAGGAGUUUCUCGCAAAAAAUCAAUCUCUGCUUCCACAUGAGAACUCACACUGGAGAACGUCCGUACACAUGUCCACAAUGUGAAAGGAGUUUCGGACAUAAAAGCACGUUUGUAAAACACAUAAGAACUCACACUGGAGAGCGCCCAUACAUGUGUCCACAUUGUGAAAAGAGUUUCACUCAGAAAAUACAUCUCGAUGUGCACGUGAGACUACACACUGGAGAACACCCAUACACGUGUCUACAGUGUGAAAAGAGUUUUGUACGUAAAAGAAAUCUCGAGAUUCACAGAAGAACUCACACACACAUCUUAAGUGUGGAAAGAUGUUUGCACAGAAAUAAAUAGUAUAUUUUUGUUUAAAUUAUAAAAAAAUACACUAAUUGUGUGUGAUAUGCUCAACACCAUGGCAACACAUGAGGUGAAAUAAACUGACAGAUCGUGAA